GCGGUCCAGGUACAUGUGGAAGAGGAUGACCAAGUGGGGCGACUGCCAGGUGUGCCAGCACCAGGAACAGUGGAACCUGCGGGGACGAGGAGAGGAGAAGACAGAGUGGAGACGGUGGAAACAGACUGCAGGAAGGAGCCACAGGCCAAGGAGAGAGUGGAAACUGAGGAUAUUUCCAGGAAGUAUAUGAAGCUGAGAGAAGCUUCUGUGAACUCGUUGUGAAACCAAAGUGUAUUACCUGAUAUCAGGAACAAAUUCUCUAGAAGUAUUUUGCAGUUGUUGCUACAAUAAACAUUAUGAUGAAAGACAAGAACACAGAAGAAACUUUGCCAGGGAUUCACACAGUUUCAUUCCAGAAGACCUGGAUUCAAGCACUAGGAUGCCCAAAAGACUCCUUCAUGUAUACCUCUAGUCCUAGUCUCUAUCCAAGACUUAUGUACCACCAAUCUACUGGACAUGUCCCCCUGGAUGUGUAGUUGAAGGAGGAAACAGAACAGGCUCUAUCUUGAAAGCAGGACUCCAUCUUGGGCCGGACUGUGGACUUUGAGCUGUAUGCCCAGUACCUAUGGAAACGACAGACCAACUGGAAAACCAGGCCCCCAAAGGAAGAGCCCCAGGGCUCUCCCUCGCCUAAAAGAAUACCCUAAUUAUCUGUGUAACCGAAUAGAAUCAUACAUUCUAUUAUGCUU